UACAGAGGUCCCAAGCGUUGUUCGGAUUCAUUGGGCGUAAAGGGUGCGUAGGUGGCGCCGUAAGUCGGGUGUGAAAUUUCGGAGCUUAACUCCGAAACUGCAUUCAAUACUGCGGUGCUUGAGGACUGGAGAGGAGACUGGAAUGGUCGGUGUAGCGGUGAAAUGCGUAGAGAUCGACCAGAACACCGGUGGCGAAGGCGGGUCUCUGGACAGUUCCUGACGCUCAGGCACGAAAGCCAGGGGAGCAAACGGG
rnacentral:rRNA from 1 species